rnacentral:rRNA from 1 species
GCGUGAGUGAGGAAGGCCUUAGGGUUGUAAAGCUCUUUCACCCGCGACGAUGAUGACGGUAGCGGGAGAAGAAGCCCCGGCUAACUUCGUGCCAGCAGCCGCGGUAAUACGAAGGGGGCGAGCGUUGUUCGGAUUUACUGGGCGUAAAGGGCGCGCAGGCGGCGACAUUUGUCAGGCGUGAAAGCCCCGGGCUUAACCUGGGAACUGCGCUUGAUACGGUGUGGCUAGAGUUCGGGAGAGGAGAGCGGAAUUCCCAGUGUAGAGGUGAAAUUCGU